UACGUAGGGCGCAAGCGUUGUCCGGAAUUAUUGGGCGUAAAGAGCUCGUAGGCGGUCUGUUACGUCCGCUGUGAAAACCCAGGGCUUAACCCUGGGCUUGCAGUGGAUACGGGUAGACUAGAGGCAGGUAGGGGAGAAUGGAAUCCCGGUGUAGCGGUGAAAUGCGCAGAUAUCGGGAGGAACACCGGUGGCGAAGGCGGUUCUCUGGGCCUGACCUGACGCUGAGACGCGAAAGCGUGGGGAGCGAACAGG
rnacentral:rRNA from 1 species